AAUAUACCGGUUCUCGUUAGAUCACCGAAGUUAAGCAUCAUUGGGCGCGGUCAGUACUUGGAUGGGUGACCACCUGGGAACACUGCGUGCCGUU
rnacentral:rRNA from 1 species